rnacentral:lncRNA from 1 species
GGGCGAAUAUCCAGGACACCUUCAUAUUGGAAUAGAACACGUUCGCGUGGAAGAUCCCAUUCUUGAAGGUGUUCACAGAAAAACAUGAUUUUUCCUUCUGUUAUUCUAACUGUCUUAUCAUGUCUCUCUUAUAUUUGUUUCUGAAUUUUCUUUCUUUCCUUAGCCGUGAAGAUCCCUGCUAAGAAAGCUGCUGUCGAAGCGUCGCCCAGUACUGCUAAGAAGCCUUCGACAAA